GAAUCCGAGGCCCCGCAGGGUCACAUGGGCACCUCUCAGCCCAUUGUCUGACGUCCUUGGCCCAGUUCCCAGUGCUUCAAUGGAGUCUCAUUAACUAGCAGACCACCCCCACCCUCCCCUCGCGCCGUUUUGUAAUCUCACUUUACAUCUGACAGAGGAAGAAAACGAAGAAAGGGAAAAAAAGAAAACACAGACACUCACAGAAUAUUAUAGAAAACAAUAAGAAUAAGAAUAAGAAUGAUUAUAAUCAACAGUGUUGGGAUCAUACACUGCGUGCUAUGGAGUGGGACCUACUGAUGCGCAGCGAUGGCCUCGGAGAUCGUAGAAUGGUAACCGAAUGCUGAUGCGCUGGCCGUCGUGCGUUGUUGUCUUCAGAUCUAACGGACCCUUCCGGUAUCAUCAAGUAGUGUGUUUGGCACGUUUUGGGGCUUAUUUUGAAAUGGGCUGCGGUUGAAUUUCCUCUGGAGAUGAUUCUGAGAGAAUGAUUUUGUCUCGAAGGGGAAUGUUGCAGCUCUGAAAAAACACGGAGGAGAUUGAUGUUCGGGUGUAAACAAACGAUGGAUUGGAUGUUGAGUUCCAGCAACUCAAAGCAGUGCCUGGAGCCCUAACUUUGCCGCAGCUGUGCCAAGGAGAUCGACUUACUUCUCAAUCAGAAUAAUGUUGCAAAGAAUGGAUCUGGAUAUCCGUCUUGGAAAAUCAAUGCUGCCUGUAUCACAAUUUGGAUUGAUAGGUUACUUAAUUGAAUCAUUGUUGGAUAGUUGCAACGAAGAUUAACACUUGAGACUCGGCUAUGGAACGGACAAACGUUGUGCUACAAAACGUAUUCACUGGUUUUCCGUCACUUGGGUUUGUGAUUAAGGAGCAAAAAAACAAAUACACUUGGGAAGUGUAUCACCGCCGGAAUGUAGUACUCGAUAAUCGUCAUCACCGGUUGCGGCCAGAACAUUCACACUUCCCAGCCCCUCCCUAGCGGAUGCUGCUGAUCAAAGUAUCUUCCCUUCAACACAUUGAAAUGAACGGUUAUCAUAAUCGGGAAUGCUUGAAGCUUGCUCAACUCACACGAUGACACAUGCACCAUGGAGAGUAAGAAGCAUUGGUUUGAAGAGUCCAUAUGAAAUGUACACGUCAAGACCACAUAGACGAAGGCGAGAAACUCUUAAUCCGAGUUCCUCAAACUUCAAUUUGAAUCUUUCGAAUUUCUGGUGUUGCAAAAAUAAACUCACCAUGAUUCGGUCUCAUUUCCCCUCUACAACCUUUUUCUGGAUGAUGCAAAAUUGUUCUUAAGAAAGAGAACAUGUUGCGUUGAAUUUUGCGUUUGUUUUAGUGGUGACGAUUUCGCAAAUGUCGAUUUUGCCUCGCAACAACGUCUACGUUUGUAUGCUGAGGAUCCAACAAACGGCGUAACUCAAGAAAUCAUCUUCAUGGUGAAUUGAACUCUUGUAGUUCAAUUGUGUUCUUCAAUUCAAUCAAACCUUUUGAAUGAUUUGACGACGAUGCCAAGAAGGAAUCUAGUGACCACACCAAAGCCCAUUCAGCAACAAGGAGGGAGUUCAAGCCACGCUAAGAAUUCAGCAUGGAGACAAAUUUAACAUCAUAUAAAGCAAGGAAUUUGCUUUUGCUGCUGCACAGUUUUUGCCGUUACGCUAACAAUAUUUGCGUACCGAAAAAUUGGAAGAUUCAAAUUGCAUCUUCACGGCCUGAGUAAUCUCAUGUUAGUUUCAAGUGGCCCUCCAUUUCUUCACAUAAUAUACAGUGUGAAUCGAUGUGCGGCGAGAAAUUGGUAUAAAAUGGGUGCAUGACUCUCAGACAUGAACAAAUAAAAUAAACAAAAAGGUACACUGUGAAUUCCUUGAUAUAACAAUCGUUUCCAAAUUGUGCAUCAUGUCGAAAUCAGUUCAAAAGUGAGUUCCAUUACCAUUCAACCUCCAAAAACCAACUGUGGUUGGAGUGGAAACAUUUUCAAGAAUGUUUUCACGUAAAUAGUCAAACAGAGGUCUCAUCCUCAAAGUUAGAAUACAAAAAGUGAGCGUCGGAGUACCAUCUCCAAAAGGAUACUGUCAAGGGUUGGAUUUCUUAUCUUGGAGUUACGACCAGCGGCGUUUCACCUCCUGCAACCACAACACACACGACGCAAUAACAGUGCGCAGCGCAGGAAAGGACCAGACAAUUCUUGACACGAUGCUUACGUCUCCAAGUCCCAAACCUAAAGAGGUUACAGUGGUGGCCAUCACCGUCUACAGUAACCCACCGAUCACUGCAAAGCUACGUAACUGCCUGUCCUGCGUCCUUGUGGAACAGCCGAGCAGCCGAGCAUCAGCACAGGGAGCUGAGCUGCGCAAGAACUGAUCUGCUUGUCCGGUCGAGGUGAUCAACAACAACAACCCAUCUCUCUGCUACUGUUACCCGCCGAAUUUUUCUGGGGUGCGGAUCUGCACGCAGCGCACCAUCGCUCUUGCGCUCCAUGAGUACACGUCCUGCACGAACAGAUCGCUUUGGUGUGGGACCGAGACACACUCCAUCUUCUUGCACAAGGUUUCCUCUCUCAAUUUCUUUCCUCUUUUUCUCCCCAUUUAUGUGCAUGUUCGGCAUGGAUUGCCUGCGGAUCAGUGUAGCUCCAGUUGAAGGGGGAUGGAAUGGGAAACACCUGGUCCUGGAGCAGGUUUCGAACUGAUAUCGAGUUGAGGCUCUUGCGGUGCUCGCCGAUGUUCUGAUCAGCAGCAGCAGCACCUGGGACCAACCUAGUAACUGGAAUCCUUGUUUGUUUUGUUAAUCUCCUCUUGUGCUAUUCCUGCACAUCUAAUCGGUACUAAUCCAUGCCUAAUUAGCAACUGCACUUGUGUCGAUUAGUGAUACUUUUGUUGUUCGACAUCGUGGCUCCAUCAAAGUUUGAUGUUCGUCGCAGUCUCUCUUUCUUUAGCUAGCAAUGGUUAUUGAUUGAUGAUGCAUCUCUUUGUUCAUGUGUAUACAUAUAUUAUUAUAUAUUUCUUUUUAAAGUAAGUGAUGGAAACGCAGGUAGGCAAUUUGGUGAAGAUUUGGGAAUACGUGGAGUUUUUAUUUAUUUAUCUAUUUGUUUAUUAUUAGUUGUUAGCUGUGCAAUGACUUUUGUUGGUAGUGCGAAGUUUGCCAAUAUGAAAAAAUGAGCUCAUUAGUUGUGCAUUUACGGUGAGGCCAAACUUGGUGAUGAUAGCCUCUGGAAAUAAGUACAACCAGCAACUAUGGAGUGGUACCUCGUGACAAGGGCACCCCAUAUCAUUUGCAAACAUGAUGCUUUCUGAAAUUAAGUAGAUGUUCGUGUGGAUUUAGGUAAAUACAAAGUUAUCAAACUAUCAUAUUCACUGUGAUAUAAAUUAUUUAUAUCUUUGAUAAAUAAUAUCAUGGUCACUGUGAUGGUUUUAAUUUAA